GAGUUUGAUCGUGGCUCAGGAUGAACGCUGGCGGCGUGCUUAACACAUGCAAGUCGAACGAAGCACUUUACUUGAUUUUCUUCGGAAUUGAUUGUACUGUGACUGAGUGGCGGACGGGUGAGUAACGCGUGGAUAACCUGCCUCACACAGGGGGAUAACAGCUGGAAACGGCUGCUAAUACCGCAUAAGCGCACAGCACCGCAUGGUGCAGUGUGAAAAACUCCGGUGGUAUGAGAUGGACCCGCGUCUGAUUAGCUAGUUGGAGGGUAACGGCCCACCAAGGCGACGAUCAGUAGCCGGCCUGAGAGGGU
rnacentral:rRNA from 1 species